GAUUUCUGGUUCGGCGCACUUGGCCCGCCUCGGUUUACGGGGUUGUGUGCCGGUGUGCGCCAUCCAUCCUUCGAGUGAACAGUUCUGCCCUUCACUGGGUUGGAGCUGCCUAACUCGAUCUUUUACUUUGAAAAAAUUAGAGUGUUUCAAGCAGGCUUUAUGCUAUGAAUACAUUAGCAUGGAAUAAUAAUUUAGGACUUCGGUUCUAUUUUGUUGGUUUCUAGGACUGAAGUAAUGAUUGAUAGGGAUAGUUGGGGGUGCUAGUAUUCAGCGGCCAGAGGUGAAAUUCUCGGAUUCGCUGAAGACUAACUUAUGCGAAAGCAUU
rnacentral:rRNA from 1 species